rnacentral:other from 1 species
GUCGCUCUGUGCUGUUGGUCAGUUGAGCCAUUAUGCCCUUGAGCUUAAUUUCGUACCCUGGGAACUGGGUUGAUCGCGGUUGUUGUGCAUGUCCGCCACGGCGGAAAGCCUGAUAUCGUUCACCUACUCCCACUUGAACUCUCCCAGUUCAAGGUCGGUUUUCAGCGACGGCAGUUACGGAGCGAUU